rnacentral:lncRNA from 1 species
AUUUGAAGAAAGAGAUUGUGAAACAGGUAUGUGAUUUGAUCAUAAUUUAAAUUUCAGCGUAUAUCAAUUUCAGCAUAUGAAAUAGAUCCAUGUGGUUUUAUAUUUUUAUGCAUGCAAAAUUUAGAUUAAAAUUAUUUUAAUCUUAUUUUUCACUGUGGUGUUUAGAAAAUUAAGUUUUGAAACAUAUAUGUAUGCUUCA